UACGUAGGGUGCGAGCGUUGUCCGGAAUUAUUGGGCGUAAAGGGCUCGUAGGCGGUCUGUCACGUCGGGAGUGAAAACUCGGGGCUUAACUCCGAGCCUGCUUCUGAUACGGGCAGACUAGAGGUAUGCAGGGGAGAAUGGAAUUCCUGGUGUAGCGGUGGAAUGCGCAGAUGUCAGGAGGAACACCGAUGGCGAAGGCAGCUCGCUGGGACGGUACUGACGCUGAGGCGCGAAAGCGUGGGGAGCGAACAGG
rnacentral:rRNA from 1 species